GAUGAACGCUGGCGGCGUGCUUAACACAUGCAAGUCGAACGAAGCAUUACUUUUGAAAGGACCCAGCUUGCUGGGUGUGGACAUGUGUGAUGACUGAGUGGCGGACGGGUGAGUAACGCGUGAGUAACCUGCCUUAUACAGGGGGAUAACAGUUGGAAACGACUGCUAAUACCGCAUAAGCACACAGUAUCGCCUGAUACAGUGUGAAAAACUCCGGUGGUAUAAGAUGGACUCGCGUCUGAUUAGCUAGUUGGUGAGGUAAUGGCCCACCAAGGCGACGAUCAGUAGCCGACCUGAGAGGGUGACCGGCCACAUUGGGACUGAGACACGGCCCAGACUCCUACGGGAGGCAGCAGUGGGGAAUAUUGCGCAAUGGGGGAAACCCUGACGCAGCAACGCCGCGUGAUUGAAGAAGGCCUUCGGGUUGUAAAGAUCUUUAAUCAGGGACGAAGGAAGUGACGGUACCUGAAGAAUAAGCUCCGGCUAACUACGUGCCAGCAGCCGCAGUAACAC
rnacentral:rRNA from 1 species